CCUACGGGAGGCAGCAGUAGGGAAUCUUCCACAAUGGGCGAAAGCCUGAUGGAGCAACGCCGCGUGGGUGAAGAAGGUCUUCGGAUCGUAAAACUCUGUUGUUAGAGAAGAAAGUGCGUGAGAGUAACUGUUCACGUUUCGACGGUAUCUAACCAGAAAGCCACGGCUAACUACGUGCCAGCAGCCGCGGUAAUACGUAGGUGGCAAGCGUUAUCCGGAUUUAUUGGGCGUAAAGGGAACGCAGGCGGUCUUUUAAGUCUGAUGUGAAAGCCUUCGGCUUAACCGGAGUAGUGCAUUGGAAACUGGAAGACUUGAGUGCAGAAGAGGAGAGUGGAACUCCAGGUGUAGCGGUGAAAUGCGUAGAUAUAUGGAAGAACACCAGUGGCGAAAGCGGCUCUCUGGUCUGUAACUGACGCUGAGGUUCGAAAGCGUGGGUAGCAAACAGGAUUAGAUACCCGAGUAGUC
rnacentral:rRNA from 1 species